UUCAUCCGUUUAAUUAAUUAAUUUCCGGAUCAUGGCGGUGAAGAGCCGCUGAGACGAGGUGGCUCUUUGCAGUACCCUCAGGAGGAUCCUAGGCAGUUUAGAGGACUGGACUCACUGUUGGGGAGAUGAGCUGAUGUCAAAGUCUCCGAUGGUUAUACUGCGGCCAAAGGUGACAUAUCAUCUCUCAGUGUCCUGUUUGACUUCGGGGUUUAGUUCCAUCUUCAGUGGGCACCCUUGUAAGCGGCUACACCUCUUUGGACUCUCUGACUGGCAGACUUCAAUUACAAGGUACUCUUACUUGGGCUGGAAAGGUAGUGGAUAUUGAAGCGCGUAUGGACUCUGCCGCUGAUAAUUGUUUUGCGCACUGUGAUUUUUCUACAUUAUUUUCAAUGCCUUUGUCCCGAUUAAUUGAACCUAAAUGGGUUAGAUCACUCGAAGGGCAUUCAGCCUGGCCACAAUAGCACAUCAGACUUUAGCCAUCUCCUUACAGUUGUCAGGCAACCAUUUUGAGACCAUUGCAGUAUUUUUUUUUGUCAUAUCCUCACACAAUGCAGCCAAAGUCCUUGGGCUUGCAUGGCUCGUUAAACACAGUCCUAACAAUAAUUGGUCCGAAUCUGCUCUAGUUAGUUGGUGCCUACACAUCGGCUGCCAAGAAGAGGCUUCAUAUAGUACAGUAAAAAAGUUAAUUUUGCUAAACAUUUUUUACCUACUUUAAUUUCCUGACUAUACAGCACACCCAUAUUUAAGUCGCACCUACUAAAUUUAAAGAAAAAUCUAUAAGUUGCUAUAAGGUGUCCACGUCAUAACAUGGGAUACUAGCACACAGAAAGAUGUUACACAGACAGAUUUUUUAAACUUUUAAUUAAACAAAUGUUUUUUCUAAACAUUGCUAAACAGUGCUAAACAGUGCGUGUAAAACGACUAGUUAAACAGCAGCCCAUCAGAAAAGUCCUUCAUCGCUGUCCUCGCCCUUCUCCUGGCAACUAAAACCACUAAAGUCGUCCUCUUCAAGUGUUGGAACCAAACAGCCCCACAAUUCCCUCAGCACACACACCGCCAGUCUCUCUCCUUCUUUUGUUGUCGCUACCAGCGUCACCCCCGCCCUGAGGCAAAUCAGCCCCCGAACCCAUACUGUCCUCUCCAACACGCAACAGUCCAGCCCCCUGAAACCUGCCGGUGACAGUGAACCCCCUGACAUGCCAAGAUCCAUCUGCAGACCCGAGCAAAAGCCGCUAGAUUGAUCACCAUCAACGUGAAAGCCGCAUCACAUGCACCUCUCCACAUGUUUUUCAUGGGGGGAGCGCACAAGGGCCGACAGGCAGAGAGAAAGACAACAACACCAACUUAUCAACAGCCCAAUUGCUACAACAAUCACAUAACCCGAAAACGGAAGUGAAAACCCUCACCCCAAGGCACGACCCCUUGAUGCCAUCUGAUGCUGUCUGCAGUCGGCACCAGUAAGGGCCUUAAUUUGUGUGGAAGACCGCCCUCUGUCUUGAUGGACAGCCAAUCGGAUCCUCCGG